GUCUAUGGCCAUACCACCCUGAACAUGCCUGGUGUUGUCACAUCUUGGAAGCUAAGCAGGGUCAGGCCUGGUUAGUACUUGGAUGGGAGAAAUUAGGAGCUUCUCAUUCAGUUCCCAGUGCUACUGUCU
rfam:Erinaceus europaeus unplaced genomic scaffold scaffold00311, whole genome shotgun sequence